GCCCACCUCCCAAUCCUUACUUCGAGGGAAGCGAUCUUGAUGAGUAUGGAUGACAUGGACACUUCGCAAGUGUGGAGCUUCAAGUACAGGUUUGAGUUCAUUGCCUCCUAUUUGUUUUAUCCACCAAGAUCAAGUGCAUACCAAAUUUGGAAAAGCAGGUGCAUUUUCUUGAUGGGAGGCACUAUUUACUACAACCACCAUGAUCAAAUUUAUACAUCUAUUUUUCUUUUCUGGAUUUGAAUUAGUAAAUUUAUGUACUAUUUCAAUUUAAAAAUGGAAAAUGAAUGUGAUACUCACGAUGUAUUAAUACUGAUCAAAGUGUUUGUGGACAUCAAAUCUCUUUCUUUAUUUUGUUGGGUUUCUUCUUGUCAGCAUAUGCUCUUGCUUGAUGCUCAUACCCUUUUCUGAUGCAGGUUUUGGCCAAACAACAAGAGUCGGAUGUAUGUCCUAGAGAACACUAGAGAGUUUGUUAAAUCACAUGGCUUACGACUUGGAGACUUCAUCAUGUUAUAUAGAGAUGACCACAAACAGAAAUAUAUUAUUCGAGCAAAGAAGACUUUAAACCGGGAGGCACCUCCUGCUUCUUCAAAGAAUGGCUUUUUCAAUGCUAACACUGUCGAUGAUCAGCUGGUGCCCAACAUGGGGGUAAGUAAAUCAA